rnacentral:tRNA from 1 species
GCCUGGGUGGCUCAGUCAGUUAAGCGUCCGACUUUGGCUCAGGUCAUGAUCUCACGGUUCGUGGGUUCGAGCCCCACAUCAGGCU